rnacentral:rRNA from 1 species
AAAUUGAAGAGUUUGAUCAUGGCUCAGAUUGAACGCUGGCGGCAGGCCUAACACAUGCAAGUCGAACGGUAGCACAGAGAGCUUGCUCUCGGGUGACGAGUGGCGGACGGGUGAGUAAUGUCUGGGAAACUGCCCGAUGGAGGGGGAUAACUACUGGAAACGGUAGCUAAUACCGCAUAACGUCGCAAGACCAAAGUGGGGGACCUUCGGGCCUCACACCAUCGGAUGUGCCCAGAUGGGAUUAGCUAGUAGGUGGGGUAACGGCUCACCUAGGCGACGAUCCCUAGCUGGUCUGAGAGGAUGACCAGCCACACUGGAACUGAGACACGGUCCAGACUCCUACGGGAGGCAGCAGUGGGGAAUAUUGCACAAUGGGCGCAAGCCUGAUGCAGCCAUGCCGCGUGUAUGAAGAAGGCCUUCGGGUUGUAAAGUACUUUCAGCGAGGAGGAAGGCGUUGUGGUU